rnacentral:rRNA from 1 species
UACAGAGGUCCCAAGCGUUGUUCGGAUUCACUGGGCGUAAAGCGUGCGUAGGCGGCUGCGCAAGUCGGGUGUGAAACCCCGGGGCUCAACCCCGGAACUGCAUCCGAUACUGCGUGGCUAGAGGUAGGUAGGGGAGAUCGGAAUUCCUGGUGUAGCGGUGAAAUGCGCAGAUAUCAGGAGGAACACCGGUGGCGAAGGCGGAUCUCUGGGCCUUACCUGACGCUCAGGCACGAAAGCUAGGGGAGCGAACAGG